GCUGGGUGCGGUGGUGCGCAUCUGUAAUCCCAGCUACUUGGCAGGCAGAAGCAGGAUGAUUGAAAGUUCAAGGCUAGACUUAGCAAUGCAGCAAGACCCAGUCUCAA
rnacentral:sRNA from 1 species